rfam:Cucumis sativus cultivar 9930 chromosome 1, whole genome shotgun sequence.
UUACUUACCUGGAUGGAGCCAAUGGCCGAUCAAGAAUAGCCAUGGCUUAGGCGCGUGACUUCCAUUGCACGUGGGGAGGGUGCGCGCUUAAGGUCUGUCUGAAAUGGGCAGAGCCUACAUCAUCAUUUGUGGCAGUGGGGGCUUGCGUGCGCGCAGCCCCUUC